rnacentral:rRNA from 1 species
AAAGAAACCAACAGGGAUUGCCCUAGUAACGGCGAGUGAAGCGGCAAUAGCUCAAAUUUGAAAGCUGGCUUAUGGCCCGCAUUGUAAUUUGUAGAGGAUGCUUUUAGGCAGCCGCCGGUCUAAGUUCCUUGGAACAGGACGUCAUAGAGGGUGAGAAUCCCGUAUGUGACCGGCUCUGGCACCUUAUGUAAAGCUCCUUCGACGAGUCGAGUUGUUUGGGAAUGCAGCUCUAAAUGGGAGGUAAAUUUCUUCUAAAGCUAAAUACUGGCGAGAGACCGAUAGCGCACAAGUAGAGUGAUCGAAAGAUGAAAAGCACUUUGGAAAGAGAGUUAAAAAGCACGUGAAAUUGUUGAAAGGGAAGCGCUUGCAAUCAGACUUGGACUUGGCUGUUCAACAGGUCUUCUGACCUGCCUAUUCAGUCUUGUCCAGGCCAGCAUCAGUUUCGGCGGCCGGAUAAAGGCCCUAGGAAUGUGGCUUUCCCUUCGGGGGAAGUGUUAUAGCCUAGGGUGUAAUACGGCCAGCUGGGACUGAGGUCCGCGCUUCGGCUAGGAUGCUGGCGUAAUGGUUGUAAGCGGCCCGUCUUGAAACACGGACCAAGGAGUCUAACAUCUAUGCGAGUGUUAGGGUGUCAAACCCUUACGCGUAAUGAAAGUGAACGGAGGUGAGAACCCGCAAGGGUGCAUCAUCGACCGAUCCUGAUGUCUUCGGAUGGAUUUGAGUAAGAGCAUAGCUGUUGGGACCCGAAAGAUGGUGAACUAUGCCUGAAUAGGGUGAAGCCAGAGGAAACUCUGGUGGAGGCUCGCAGCGGUUCUGACGUGCAAAUCGAUCGUCAAAUUUGGGUAUAGGGGCGAAGACUAUCGAACUCUA